rnacentral:rRNA from 1 species
GGACUACUAGGGUAUCUAAUCCUGUUUGCUCCCCACGCUUUCGCGCCUCAGCGUCAGUAACGGGCCAGUGUGUCGCCUUCGCCACUGGUGUUCUUCCGAAUAUCUACGAAUUUCACCUCUACACUCGGAGUUCCACACACCUCUCCCGUACUCAAGGUACCCAGUAUCAAAGGCAGUUCCAGGGUUGAGCCCUGGGAUUUAACCUCUGACUUAAGUACCCGCCUACGCGCCCUUUACGCCCAGUAAUUCCGAGCAACGCUAGCCCCCUUCGUAUUACCGCGGCUGCUGGCAC